UACGUAGGGGGCAAGCGUUGUCCGGAUUUAUUGGGCGUAAAGAGCGUGUAGGCAGCUAGAUAGGUCCGUUGUGAAAACUCGAGGCUCAACCUCGAGACGUCGAUGGAAACCAUCUGGCUAGAGUCCGGAAGAGGAGAGUGGAAUUCCUGGUGUAGCGGUGAAAUGCGCAGAUAUCAGGAAGAACACCCGUGGCGAAGGCGGCUCUCUGGUACGUGACUGACGCUGAGACGCGAAAGCGUGGGGAGCAAACAGG
rnacentral:rRNA from 1 species